GCAUGCAUCUGGAAACAUCACAGCCAAUGACCUCUGCCCCAGGGCUGAAGUAGCUCGAAGAGAAGAUGUUGCAAGACGCUCUCUUUUCAUCAAGAUCCUGUACAAUGGCAAAGAAGUUUCCCGAACUGACAGCCGCUCCCUGAACACUGAUUUCAGAGUGCACUUUGGUCAGAUUUUCAAUCUCAAGAUAGUCAAUUGUCCUCAAAGCAUCAAUUUGCAGGUGUUUGAAGAGCUUGGAUCAUCGUGUUUCCUCCUGGCUCAAGUGUUCAUCCCUGUGCCAGAACCCUCUGUCUUAACGGGCAGCGUCCCUCUUGAUGAAUUUGAGUUCAGCAGCAACCAGA